CAGUAACGGCGAGUGAAGCGGGAAGAGCUCACGUUGUAAAUCUGACCUUUGGGUCCGAAUUGUAGUCUGGAGAGGCGUGACCAGCUGGAGUCGGGGGCGAAGUCUCUUGGAAAAGAGCAUCAAGGAGGGUGACAAUCCCGUUCUUGCCCCCGCGCUCCACGCGUACGGUCCGUUUUCUACGAGUCGAGUUGCUUGGGAUUGCAGCUCAAAGCGGGUGGUAAAUUCCAUCUAAAGCUAAACACGGGUGGGAGACCGAUAGCGAACAAGUACCGUGAGGGAAAGAUGCAAAGAACUUUGAAAAGAGAGUUAAAGAGUGCCUGAAAUUGCUGAAAGGGAAGCGAAGGAAACCAGUGUCUGGCGGUUCCGCUUCUCCUUGGCCCCUCGGGGCCUUGGUUUGCGUUUCCGCCGUGGCCAGGGCCGGGUAGUGUUGCGGGAGCCUGCGCUUCGGAAGGUAGCAUCUCUUCGGAGUGUGAAGACCGUGGCGUGUCGUCGCGACGCUGGCCGGUUCUGACGAAAUGGUUUUCUUUAC
rnacentral:rRNA from 1 species